rnacentral:rRNA from 1 species
AAAUUGAAGAGUUUGAUCAUGGCUCAGAUUGAACGCUGGCGGCAGGCCUAACACAUGCAAGUCGAGCGGUAGCACAGAGAGCUUGCUCUCGGGUGACGAGCGGCGGACGGGUGAGUAAUGUCUGGGAAACUGCCUGAUGGAGGGGGGAUAACUACUGGAAACGGUAGCUAAUACCGCAUAAUGUCGCAAGACCAAAGUGGGGGACCUUCGGGCCUCAUGCCAUCAGAUGUGCCCAGAUGGGAUUAGCUAGUAGGUGGGGUAACGGCUCACCUAGGCGACGAUCCCUAGCUGGUCUGAGAGGAUGACCAGCCACACUGGAACUGAGACACGGUCCAGACUCCUACGGGAGGCAGCAGUGGGGAAUAUUGCACAAUGGGCGCAAGCCUGAUGCAGCCAUGCCGCGUGUGUGAAGAAGGCCUUCGGGUUGUAAAGCACUUUCAGCGGGGAGGAAGGCGUUAAGGUUAAUAACCUUGGCGAUUGACGUUACCCGCAGAAGAAGCACCGGCUAACUCCGUGCCAGCAGCCGCGGUAAUACGGAGGGUGCAAGCGUUAAUCGGAAUUACUGGGCGUAAAGCGCACGCAGGCGGUCUGUCAAGUCGGAUGUGAAAUCCCCGGGCUCAACCUGGGAACUGCAUUCGAAACUGGCAGGCUAGAGUCUUGUAGAGGGGGGUAGAAUUCCGGUGUAGCGGUGAAAUGCGUAGAGAUCUGGAGGAAUACCGGUGGCGAAGGCGGCCCCCCUGGACAAAGACUGACGCUCAGGUGCGAAAGCGUGGGGAGCAAACAGGAUUAGAUACCCUGGUAGUCCACGCCGUAAACGAUGUCGAUUUGGAGGUUGUGCCCUUGAGGCGUGGCUUCCGGAGCUAACGCGUUAAAUCGACCGCCUGGGGAGUACGGCCGCAAGGUUAAAACUCAAAUGAAUUGACGGGGGCCCGCACAAGCGGUGGAGCAUGUGGUUUAAUUCGAUGCAACGCGAAGAACCUUACCUGGUCUUGACAUCCACAGAACUUUCCAGAGAUGGAUUGGUGCCUUCGGGAACUGUGAGACAGGUGCUGCAUGGCUGUCGUCAGCUCGUGUUGUGAAAUGUUGGGUUAAGUCCCGCAACGAGCGCAACCCUUAUCCUUUGUUGCCAGCGGUUAGGCCGGGAACUCAAAGGAGACUGCCAGUGAUAAACUGGAGGAAGGUGGGGAUGACGUCAAGUCAUCAUGGCCCUUACGACCAGGGCUACACACGUGCUACAAUGGCAUAUACAAAGAGAAGCGACCUCGCGAGAGCAAGCGGACCUCAUAAAGUAUGUCGUAGUCCGGAUUGGAGUCUGCAACUCGACUCCAUGAAGUCGGAAUCGCUAGUAAUCGUAGAUCAGAAUGCUACGGUGAAUACGUUCCCGGGCCUUGUACACACCGCCCGUCACACCAUGGGAGUGGGUUGCAAAAGAAGUAGGUAGCUUAACCUUCGGGAGGGCGCUUACCACUUUGUGAUUCAUGACUGGGGUGAAGUCGUAACAAGGUAACCGUAGGGGAACCUGCGGUUGGAUCACCUCCUUA